ACACUGACUUCCCAAGUUUACAUCACAGAGAGGUCCAUAUCUGUGUGCAAGAGCCCCAUGGGCAAAGCUGGUCAGAUGGAGACCUUGGGCCAGGUUGUUACAUGGGAGGAUACUGUGAAAGACCAUUCACUCCAGUGGAGCUCCUCAGCAACGUUUGUAAGGUCGUUCUUAAGUUUGCCAAAGAUCUCCAAUUCCCUAGGCACCCGCAUUUCCUACUUCAUGUACCUGUAUCCUAAAUGUGUAGAUAGAUGCACACACACAGAGGAGCCACCCUCCAUUCUCAAUCCAUCUGUGCCAGAAACUGAGCGUGGGAAGUGAGAAGACACAUCUCAGGGAUGCUCUGGAAAUAGUGCUCUAUUGCUUGACCCAUUUCCAGAGACUUCAGGUUCAGGCUCUCACCUCCCAUAACCAGUCCCAUUACCUUCUGGAUUUUCCUCUUCCUUUCCUUCCAACACAUCCCCUUUCUCAAAUAUUUUGUUUUCAGCUCUUAGAAAUGACUAGGGAACAAAGUCCUUGUGUUCUUCAGCCCACUUCCAGGCUUCCCUCGGACCUGAUAGGCACUUCUCUACUGUAUUGUGGGCAUUGUUGACCUGGGUGAGGGGAGAUGUUGGCAUUAGGAAUUCCAUCAUCUCAUCCUGAGGGCAAUAUCCCAGACUGAUUUUGCAGACUGACCCUAGAGCUUAGGGAGCCAGAACAGGGCUACUUUUUAUAGCAAUUUGACAGAAUAAUUUUGUCGAGUCUAGUACAAGACAGGGCUUGUGAUUAAAAAACUUUCUUAUUGUAUUUUACAAAAGAAUUGGGCUAUGUGGAUUAGAAGUAAAUAGCCACUACUACAACUGUAAUUCACAGAUGGUUUGAGACACAGUGAGCUAGGGCAUGCUAGAGCUACUGUUGACAAUCCAGAGGCUGAAGGGCUCAGGGAAGAGGUGGUUUUCGGGUAUGGAUUGUGAGGUAUGGAUGGAAAAUAGAAAAUAGAAGUGUUUGUGGAAGACUGUGGAGGGAUAUCUGUCAGGUGUGCUGGAGUGAUGUGCUAGCAUUGCCCACUGGAACAGGGGAAAUAGAUGACGUACAAGCUGCCAUAGUGUGCUUCUCUGUGGGCCAGGUGCAUGCUGACCACUCCACAUCUUUAUAGAGAAGGGUUAGGUUCUAGUUAUGGGUGAGAUUUUUGCUGUCGUUAGGCCCCCCUCUCAACAUCCAAGUCUUGGGCUGAUAGGGAGUCAGGGCCAUGGAUGAAUAUAGAAACUGUUCCAGGGACCAAGCCAAGGUGCUUUCAUAGGAGUUUGGAUUCUCCUUGUAUUACCCCCUUGGCACCUUCCUCAUUAGCAUAGAGAGCAUGAAUUGAUGGUGCCCAUCUGUGCUCCUUCUGGAGUCCUCUCACAAGCCCAUUGCAGCCUCUUCCCAGCCAGUAUGCUAUAGAGGUGUUACACAUCCCCCUUUAAUAAUGGAAUUAAGGCUCUUCUGCAGAGAGGACUGCUAGGGGACACCCUAAAUGCUCUACCCUAUGAAAAAUGUCUCCAGGAUUGAACAUUCUGUUACUAAGUUCAAUGGCAAAGAGCCACCGCUUUGCUGAGAAAAGCACUAGCCAACUCCUUUCAGGCUACCAUGCUGAGCCCUGUUUCUCUUAAUCUCCUACCUUUCACAUUUAUUCCCAUUUCACACACUGCAGAAGUGAGGCUCAACUUUUCUCUUGCACAUUAUCCCCUUCCCUUCAGAAGAGUCUGGUCAUACAGGGAGUUGUAUCUCAUUUGAGUUAUGAGAAUUUAACUUUAAGAGGAAUUUAGCAUCAUUUAAUAUCUCAGCUUAUGAGGCAUUUCUACAUGUUUCCAGGGAAACCUGAUUUUGCAUUUCGGUUGAGUAGCUUGAGCCUGGUAAAAAGAGUGUGUGGUCAUUGUUACAAUAUCAAGCUGUGGUUGCCUCAGAAAAAUCUUGGUUUGUGGUAAUAACCUCUAUAUCCUAUUUUUUCUUUUGUCUUCUCCUUCUCUGGAUUACAGGUUUAAUUAUAUAAACGUUGAGUAUCAUUAGGCCAAAACACAAACGAAGCCAAAGAUCAGAGAGGUUAAGUAACUUGUUGCCUAUCACACAGACCGAGAUUUCAAACCCAUAUUAGUCUCUCCAGCCAUAUCCUUAACUGGCAUUAUUUAGAAUUUAUAUCAAAUAUCAUACCGGAAUUAGAGGUAUUAGAAUGAGAUUCAAGCCACGUGUAGUCAAAACCCCAAGGCUCCAAGGGUGCUGCUGUUUCUUCUUGCCAUGGUUUAGGGUUGCAAUAUGAUUUCAUAGGCAUUGAGGAUGGAGAAUAAGUUAUAAGCAGUAUCAUUUACAAGGAUAGGGUUUGGAUUUAGAAACAUGCCUUCAAGUCAGGUGAUGCAUUCAUUGGCUACUCUGGGCACAUAACAAGCUGCAUAAAUUUUUAUACCUCUCUACCCUACUCUUUUGUAAAAAAACAAAACAAAACAAAACUCAUACUUGCAGACAUAAUUUGCAUAGAACGGUCAGGUGGUAAUAGUUUACAGGGAUGUCAUGUUCAUUCUUCCUUGCUAGCUUAUUUCUAAGAUUCAGUUUGUUUUCUAAUCGAUCACAUUGACAAAAAGGAAAAAAGACACACACACCAGUGUUACAAAACCUUGUAUUAAUCAUUUCCCUUCACUUUCAAUAUAACAUUGAUAUGAAAUAUAGCCAUGAUUCUUAGUUACAUGGAGGAAAUGAGUAAUAAAUACAUUGUAG